GGACCUCCAAUCAGUCAAGAAUACCCGC
rnacentral:rRNA from 2 species